GAUGAACGCUGGCGACGUGCCUAAUACAUGCAAGUCGAGCGAACGGACGAGAAGCUUGCUUCUCUGAUGUUAGCGGCGGACGGGUGAGUAACACGUGGAUAACCUACCUAUAAGACUGGGAUAACUUCGGGAAACCGUAGCUAAUACCGGAUAAUAUUUUGAACCGCAUGGUUCAAAAGUGAAAGACGGUCUUGCUGUCACUUAUAGAUGGAUCCGCGCUGCAUUAGCUAGUUGGUAAGGUAACGGCUUACCAAGGCAACGAUGCAUAGCCGACCUGAGAGGGUGAUCGGCCACACUGGAACUGAGACACGGUCCAGACUCCUACGGGAGGCAGCAGUAGGGAAUCUUCCGCAAUGGGCGAAAGCCUGACGGAGCAACGCCGCGUGAGUGAUGAAGGUCUUCGGAUCGUAAAACUCUGUUAUUAGGGAAGAACAUAUGUGUAAGUAACUGUGCACAUCUUGACGGCACCUAAUCAGAAAGCCACGGCUAACUACGUG
rnacentral:rRNA from 1 species